rnacentral:rRNA from 1 species
AUUGAACGCUGGCGGCAGGCUUAACACAUGCAAGUCGAACGAGUGGCGGACGGGUGAGUAAUGCUUGGGAAUCUGGCUUAUGGAGGGGGAUAACGACGGGAAACUGGCGCUAAUACCGCGUACCAUAGGAUGAGCCCAAGGGGGAUUAGGUAGUUGGUGGGGUAAUGGCCUACCAAGCAGACGAUCUAUAGCUGGUCUGAGAGGAUGACCAGCCACGCCGGGACUGAGACUGGGCCCGGACUCCGACUGGAGGCAGCAGUGGGGAAUAUUGCGCAAUGGGGGCAACCUGACGCAGCCAUGCCGCGUGUAUGAAGAAGGUCUUCGGGUUGUAAAGUUCUUUCUGUGACGAGGCGUUAAUCACAGAAGAAGCACCGUCUAACUCCGUGCCAGCAGCCGCGGUAAUUC